UAAGCUGAACUUCUUUAGCAUUCCAUGCAAAGCCAUUCAACGUUAAUAUCAAGACCUCUUUAAUUCAAUGGCAGACUUAUCAUUGAUGCAGUAUCAUAUAGGGCAGGGUGUGAGCAGAAGCUGUAUAAAAGCUGUAAUCUACAGUUGCCUCUAUAGUGCCUUUUCAGUCCAAUAUACCAUAUUUUUACGGUGUACAUGGAUUAAACAUAGUGAGGUUGAAAAUAAACGAGUGCAAAUACCAUAUUGCACACAAAUAUGAAAGAUGUCAAAUCUACUGAUUUGGUAUUGUUUCGUUUUUCAGUUUGACACACUGAAUAGACCUAAGGAAAGUCUCUGAGCAUUUUGACAGCUGUCAUAAUGAUUCUUUUUACGGCUGUGAAGGCUGUGAGGAAGCAGCUCACACAAACCCCUCCUGAGGUGCCUGUGUAUUCAACACCUGAAAAGACGUGAGUCAUUUGUCAAUCACCUCCUCUACCAGUCUGUGCUCUCUCAGUUAUGAUGCCUUUUGAUUAUAUUGAUGACAGUCAUGAGCAAAAAUAACUUUCUAUCAAAAUAACAACUCUCCUUUUGAAAUGAGCAAAAAAAUUUAACCGGAUAGGAGUGACUGUUUCAUGAACUGUUGCCCUCACAUUUCUAGAUGCCUGGAUAGUCUGCAGCAGAGCAUGAAGUAUACAAUUUUCCAAUACUCCACACAAAACUUGAGAUAUACACACUUAAAUUACAGAAUGAGGGCCAACAUUGAAACAAGCGACAUAAGCAAGGUUCAAAACAAAAUGUUAAAUGGUCAACAGCGUUGGAAAAGACAAGAGCACUAUUAAACGGCUGAGAUCUCAGUCCCUGUCAGUAUGUCUGGAGCUCUACCUGACUUUCCUCUGUGAGAGGAAGAGGAGUGAUUCACACACACACCACCUCUCUGCGUUCUGUUUGUACCUGCCCCGACACCCUCCGAGCCGGGAAGAACACUGACCCUGCACAACACCUACCACCGCCAGACAACCGCGGUCUCCAUGGUGAAGACAAGACGGCGACAA